GCUAAUCGCGUCCCGUCAGCCGCGGUAAUACGAGAGGCCCAAACGUUAUUCGGAAUUACUUGGCUUAAAGAGUGCGUAGGCGGCGCAGAAAGGAGGGUGGGAAAUCCCUCGGCUCAACCGAGGAAUUGCGCUCUAAACUACUGUGCUCGAGGAACCUAGAGGUGAGCAGAACUGAUGGUGGAGCGGUGAAAUGCGUUGAUAUCAUCAGGAAUACCGGAGGCGAAGGCGGCUCACUGGGGGUUUUCUGACGCUGAGGAACGAAAGCCAGGGGAGCGAACGGGAUUAGAUACCCGGGUAGUC
rnacentral:rRNA from 1 species